CACGCCGUAAACGAUGGAUACUAGCUGUUGGGGGUAUCGACCCCCCCAGUAGCGAAGCUAACGCGUUAAGUAUCCCGCCUGUGGAGUACGGUCGCAAGACUAAAACAUAAAGGAAUUGACGGGGACCCGCACAAGCGGUGGAUCGUGUUCUUUAAUUCGAUGCUAAACGGAGAACCUUACCAGGGCUUGACAUCCUUGGAAUCAUUACGAAAGUAGUGAGUGCCUUUGGAACCAAGUGACAGGUGU
rnacentral:rRNA from 1 species